GUGACUGCGUACCUUUUGUAUAAUGGGUCAGCGACUUAUAUUCUGUAGCAAGGUUAACCGAAUAGGGGAGCCGAAGGGAAACCGAGUCUUAACUGGGCGUUAAGUUGCAGGGUAUAGACCCGAAACCCGGUGAUCUAGCCAUGGGCAGGUUGAAGGUUGGGUAACACUAACUGGAGGACCGAACCGACUAAUGUUGAAAAAUUAGCGGAUGACUUGUGGCUGGGGGUGAAAGGCCAAUCAAACCGGGAGAUAGCUGGUUCUCCCCGAAAGCUAUUUAGGUAGCGCCUCGUGAAUUCAUCUCCGGGGGUAGAGCACUGUUUCGGCAAGGGGGUCAUCCCGACUUACCAACCCGAUGCAAACUGCGAAUACCGGAGAAUGUUAUCACGGGAGACACACGGCGGGUGCUAACGUCCGUCGUGAAGAGGGAAACAACCCAGACCGCCAGCUAAGGUCCCAAAGUCAUGGUUAAGUGGGAAACGAUGUGGGAAGGCCCAGACAGCCAGGAUGUUGGCUUAGAAGCAGCCAUCAUUUAAAGAAAGCGUAAUAGCUCACUGGUCGAGUCGGCCUGCGCGGAAGAUGUAACGGGGCUAAACCAUGCACCGAAGCUGCGGCAGCGACACUAUGUGUUGUUGGGUAGGGGAGCGUUCUGUAAGCCUGUGAAGGUGGCCUGUGAGGGUUGCUGGAGGUAUCAGAAGUGCGAAUGCUGACAUAAGUAACGAUAAAGCGGGUGAAAAGCCCGCUCGCCGGAAGACCAAGGGUUCCUGUCCAACGUUAAUCGGGGCAGGGUGAGUCGACCCCUAAGGCGAGGCCGAAAGGCGUAGUCGAUGGGAAACAGGUUAAUAUUCCUGUACUUGGUGUUACUGCGAAGGGGGGACGGAGAAGGCUAUGUUGGCCGGGCGACGGUUGUCCCGGUUUAAGCGUGUAGGCUGGUUUUCCAGGCAAAUCCGGAAAAUCAAGGCUGAGGCGUGAUGACGAGGCACUACGGUGCUGAAGCAACAAAUGCCCUGCUUCCAGGAAAAGCCUCUAAGCAUCAGGUAACAUCAAAUCGUACCCCAAACCGACACAGGUGGUCAGGUAGAGAAUACCAAGGCGCUUGAGAGAACUCGGGUGAAGGAACUAGGCAAAAUGGUGCCGUAACUUCGGGAGAAGGCACGCUGAUAUGUAGGUGAAG
rnacentral:rRNA from 1 species